rnacentral:misc_RNA from 1 species
GCUACUACCGAUUGAAUGGUUUAGUGAGGACUCCUGAUUGGCGCCGCCGCCCCGGCAACGGAGCAGCGGACUGCCGAAAAGUUGUUCAAACUUGAUCAUUUAGAGGAAGUAAAAGUCGUAACAGGGUUUCCGUAGGUGAACCUGCAGAAGGACA